AGCGUCCUCCCAGCCCCGCCCGCGUCGGCCUCGGUGCCCCGGGAUCGCAUGGUGUUGCCCAGGUUGAAUUUGCAAUCCUCCUGCGUCAGCCUCCCAAGAAACUGGAGUAACAGGUGUAUGCCACCAGGUCCAGCUUGCCUUAACCGUUCCUGAGUGCACCAUUCAGGGCACAAAGCACCGUCUGUCCGAAGAACUUCACCUUGUCCAGCUGCACCUGCGGGUCCAGCUCCAGGCAGCCUGUCUGCUCUGUCCACCUGCCCGGUACCUACUCCACACCUUCUGGACCCGUGUACCUCACAAGAAGUCUUCAAGUCAGGUGCUGUUGGCCCUCCAACUCUGUUCUGUUCCUCUUUCUUUCUUUCUUUCUUUCUUUGUAAGUUGAUUUGGUUAUUUAAACCCUUUGCAUUUGGGGUUGAAUAUUCAAAUCAGGUUUUUAAUUUCUACCUCAAAUACAAAUCCUCUGUGAUUUGUAUUGGUAUUGCAUUAAAAUUAAAGAUGACUUUGGGGAGAAUUUAGUGUUCUGACCCAUGAAUGGGGCUCUCUCUCCACUUAUUGAGGUCUUUGAUUACCCUCAGAAAUUUUUAAUAAGGCCUCUACAUAUUUUGUCAAGUUUAUCUCUAAGUAUAUCUGAUGUUGGAAGUGAUGUUCUUAGAUUUCAAUUUCCAGUCAUUUGUUGCUAGUGUAUAGAAACGCAAUUGGUUUUUAUGUGUCAACCCUUGUAUUUUGUAGUUUUUGUAGGUAUUUUGAAUAUGCCAUAGGAUUUUCAGCGAGGAUAAUUAUGUCACCUACAAAUUAGGAGUUUUAUUUCGUCAGAUCAUUUGUUACCAAGUGGAAGGGAAGUGGGCAGAGUGGACAUCGCUGUCUUGUCCCAGUAUCAGGACCACGCUUCAGCCUUUCAUUGUUGAGUGCUGUGUUACCUGAAGCCUGGGCAUGUGCCCUUCAGCAAAUUACAGAAGUUCCCUUCUUGGACAGUUCAUUGAAAAUUUUGAUCAGGAAAGAAUGUUAAAUUUUGUAAAUGCUUUUUCUGGAGCUAUUAAGAUCUUGUGGGUUGUCCAUUUUGGACUAUUAGUGGUGAACUGUACUACCUAACAUUUCUAUUUUUUUUUUUUUGGUACCAGGUAUCAAACUCCAGACCUUGGGCUUGUGAGGCAGGUGGUGGAACCACUGAGCUAAAUCCUGGGCCCUAACAUUUCUAAUUUUUUUUGUUUUGUUUUUUUGGUACGAGGGAUUGAAUUCAGGACCUUGCGCUUGCAAGGCAGGCUCCGGAACCACUGAGUUAAAUCCCUGGCCCAACAUUUCUAAUGUUAAACCAGCCAUCGUUCCUGGGAUAAACCCAUCAUGGUUUAGUAUCUUUUGGAUGCCUUUUUUUGGGCUCAGUUUGCCUGUUUUUGUUAAGAAUUUCUGCAUCUAUCCAAGUAUAGUGGUGCACAGGAAGAUCACAAGUUUGAGGCCAGCCUGAGCAACUUAACCAUCCCAUGUCUCAAAG
rnacentral:lncRNA from 1 species